ACAUCCUUUUGUGUGUAAGUGUGUAUUAGUACAUGCUAACGAUAUUAAAAAAGUACAUACCUCAAAGAAAACGAUGACGCGAGUUAUCGUCUCUAACGUUCGAGGACUACAAAAAACACUCGGAUUGUAGGCAACAGUUUACUUCCUGGGAUUAGUGACGUAGAUAAGACCAACAUUAUCAUAGUUCAGCCCUCUCUGCUUUGCUUGGGUACGCCCUCAAAGACGGGGGUGGGGAGCGCCGAGUCAGAAGAGAGCUAAAAUGGCGAAGGUUGAGAGUUCCUGCUUUGACUCUGUUUGCAAACUCUUGUUUCAUUGUUUAAGUGAUUAAAUCUCUCGAGUAGACGCUGUCUCUUUAGAUGCGAGGGCAAAAUAGCACUUUAUGGACUUCCACAGAGGACAUCAUGUUUAAUACGGUUCCGGAAAAAUCCAGUCAGAAGUUGUUCACGGAGUUUUCACAAUAACUGCUUCUCAUGAACCGAAGCUGGAUUUGCGCGACGUCUCCUCUUGAAAGUUGGAUUACUGUGCACUUCUGGAUCACAGGCUAUUCGCAGCUGGACACAUCCUUCUACACUGUAUGCAAACAUGCAACAUCAUUACACACAGUACAAGGAGUCAGACUGGCAUAUGAGGAGCAAAGGAACCCAGGCAGUAGCAUCGUUUCACAAUGUUUCCAUCACCAUCAUCAGUGGAUGCCUUUGCCGUCCGUAGCCUGAGAUUUCAGAUUUGCAGCAAAAAAAAUUUGAUUUUCUCAUUUAUUGGAAUGCUGUGCAGGUAUUUGUACCUUGCAGCCAUCCAUUACAAUGUCACCAAGCCGUAACAAAAGCAGGAGAGGGAAAGUACAAGGCUAUGUUCCCAAAACACACAAGUGACAUACCUUAUGUGGAGGAUGUGAUCAGGCUUGUGUUUGAUGAGGUAUUUGAAGAUAAGCUGAAGGAAACCCCGAUUCCAAUGGACCUGGCAUCACAGUUUGAGAGACCUUCAAAGGAGGACGUGAUUGCAUGCUAUCUUCAGUGCAGGGGUCGUUGAAAGCCAAAAUUGUGACCGAUCUGAUCAGGAAGCUCCAAACGUAUCUGGAGAACAACACACGACAGGAUGAUAACCUUAUAGUGUCGUCUUAAAUAGCACCAGCUGACAAAGCUUUGAUAUGCCAUUUAUCUGAAUAGAUAGCUGUAAGAAAUGAAUUGAAAAUUUU